GCUACUUUUUCGGAGUUUUCGGAUGGAAGAGGAAGUAGCUUAGUGGCGAACGGGUGAGUAACACGUGAGGAACCUGCCUUAAAGAGGGGGACAACAGUUGGAAACGACUGCUAAUACCGCAUAAGCCCACGGUGCCGCAUGGCACAGGGGGAAAAGGAGAAAUCCGCUUUAAGAUGGACUCGCGUCCAAUUAGCUAGAUGGUGAGGUAAAGGCUCACCAUGGCGACGAUUGGUAGCCGGACUGAGAGGUUGAACGGCCACAUUGGGACUGAGACACGGCCCAGACUCCUACGGGAGGCAGCAGUGGGGAAUAUUGCACAAUGGGGGAAACCCUGAUGCAGCGACGCCGCGUGGAGGAAGAAGGUUUUCGGAUUGUAAACUCCUGUCUUCGGGGACGAUAAUGACGGUACCCGAGGAGGAAGCCACGGCUAACUACGUGCCAGCAGCCGCGGUAAAACGUAGGUGGCAAGCGUUGUCCGGAAUUACUGGGUGUAAAGGGAGCGCAGGCGGGUCGGUAAGUUGGGAGUGAAAACUAUGGGCUCAACCCAUAAAUUGCUUUCAAAACUGCUGAUCUUGAGUGGUGUAGAGGUAGGCGGAAUUCCCGGUGUAGCGGUGGAAUGCGUAGAUAUCGGGAGGAACACCAGUGGCGAAGGCGGCCUACUGGGCACUAACUGACGCUGAGGCUCGAAAGCAUGGGUAGCAAACAGGAUUAGAUACCCUGGUAGUCCAUGCCGUAAACGAUGAUUACUAGGUGUGGGGGGAUUAACCCCCUCCGUGCCGCAGUUAACACAAUAAGUAAUCCACCUGGGGAGUACGACCGCAAGGUUGAAACUCAAAGGAAUUGACGGGGGCCCGCACAAGCAGUGGAGUAUGUGGUUUAAU
rnacentral:rRNA from 1 species